GAUGAACGCUGGCGGCGUGCCUAAUACAUGCAAGUCGAGCGAACGGACGAGAAGCUUGCUUCUCUGAUGUUAGCGGCGGACGGGUGAGUAACACGUGGAUAACCUACCUAUAAGACUGGGAUAACUUCGGGAAACCGGAGCUAAUACCGGAUGAUAUUUUGAACCGCAUGGUUCAAAAGUGAAAGACGGUCUUGCUGUCACUUAUAGAUGGAUCCGCGCUGCAUUAGCUAGUUGGUAAGGUAACGGCUUACCAAGGCAACGAUGCAUAGCCGACCUGAGAGGGUGAUCGGCCACACUGGAACUGAGACACGGUCCAGACUCCUACGAGGCAGCAGUAGGGAAUCUUCCGCAAUGGGCGAAAGCCUGACGGAGCAACGCCGCGUGAGUGAUGAAGGUCUUCGGAUCGUAAAACUCUGUUAUUAGGGAAGAACAUAUGUGUAAGUAACUGUGCACAUCUUGACGGUACCUAAUCAGAAAGCCACGGCUAACUACGUG
rnacentral:rRNA from 1 species